CCUACGGGAGGCAGCAGUGGGGAAUAUUGCACAAUGGGGGAAACCCUGAUGCAGCGACGCCGCGUGAGUGAAGAAGUAUCUCGGUACGUAAAGCUCUAUCAGCAGGGAAGAUAAGGACGGUACCUGACCAAGAAUCCCCGGCUAACUACGGGCCAGCAGCCGCGGUAAUACGUAGGGGGCAAGCGUUCUCCGGAUGGACUGGGGGGAAAGGGAGCGUAGACGGCAGAACAAGUCGGGAGUGAAAUCCCGGGGCUUAACCCCGGAACUGCUUUGGAAACUGUGCGGCUGGAGUGCAGGAGAGGUAAGCGGAAUUCCUGGUGUAGCGGUGAAAUGCGUAGAUAUCAGGAGGAACACCAGUGGCGAAGGCGGCUUACUGGAAUGUAACUGACGUUGAGGCUCGAAAGCGUGGGGAGCAAACAGGAUUAGAUACCCGUGUAGUC
rnacentral:rRNA from 1 species